rnacentral:rRNA from 1 species
ACCCGCUGAACUUAAGCAUAUCAAUAAGCGGAGGAAAAGAAACUAACUAGGAUUGCCUUAGUAACUGCGAGCGAACCGGCAUCAGCCCAGACUGGUAAUCGCCUCGGCGAAUUGUACAGUUCAGACUCGCUCCUUACACCGCGGCGGAGGCGCAACUGUGGUUGGAACACCCGGCCGAAGAGGGUGAUAGCCCCGUACCGCUCCUGCCAAGUGAUAGGACGAAGUCUAAGAGUCGGACAGUUUGGGAGUACUGUCCUAAGUGGGAGGUAGACUCCUUCUAAGGCUAAAUAUCCACAAGAGACCGAUAGCGCACAAGUACUGUGAAGGAAAGAUGAAAAGAACUUUGAAAAAAGGGUUAAAAUACUUGAAAUCGCAGAGGAGGAAGCAGUGACCACGCCAGGCCGGAUACCCAAGAUGUUGGCAAGCCUUCAUGGGAGGUGUCCGGGAUGCCCUCAGAUGCAGCAGGACCGAGCGCAGCUGCUGUCAGCACUGUUGCCCACGUCCCAGCUGUGCCUGAGGGUUGGGUGUGCCCACUGGCCCGUCUUGAAACACGGAUCAAGGAGUCUAACAUGCCUGCAAGUAGUCGGGCGUUAACCCCCACUGCGCAACGAAAGUGAGCCUUGCCAAAUCUGCAGCAAGGGCCGUGUCAACGAGCUCAGCAGGCAUGCUGGGACCCGAAAGAUGGUGAACUAUGCUUGGGAAAGGCGAAGCCAGGGGAAACUCUGGUGGAGGCUUGUAGAGUUUCUGACGUGCAAAUCGUUCUUCUAACCUGAGUAUAGGGGCGAAAGACUAAUCGAACCAUCUAGUAGCUGGUUCCCUCCGAAAUUUCCCCCAGGAUAGCUGGAACAGGUCAGUUUUAUCGGGUAAAGAUAAUGAUUAGAGGAUCGGGGGCUGUAUUGCCUCCACCUAUUCUCAAACUUUAAAUUGGUAAGAUCAGGAAGUUGCUUAAUUGAACUUCUUGGUGAAUGAUAGUUCCAAGUGGGCCAUUUUUGGUAAGCAGAACUGGCGACGAGGGAUCAACCUACGGCAGGGUUGAGGCGACAAACUGGCUGCACAUCGGACGAAAAGGUGUUAGUUCAUUUAAACAGUAGGACGGUGGCCAUGGAAGUCGGAACCCGCUAAGGAGUGUGUAACAACUCACCUACCGAAUGGACUAGCCCUGAAAAUGGAUGUCGCUCAGCAGCCGGCCGAUACCCUGCUGUCUGCACGUGUGCAGACAGGUAGGAGGGCGUGAGGGUUGCGUGGAAGCAUCUGUGAGGACAGGUGUGGAGCAGCCCUUAGUGCAGAUCUUGGUGGUAGUAGCAAUUAUUCAAAUGGGAACUUUGAAGACUGAAGUGGAGAAGGGUUUCAUGAGAACAACAUUUGGUCAUGAGUAACUCGGUCCUAAGGCCAGGGGAAGUCCCGCGACGACGCAGUCCAGGCCGAAAGGGAAUGCGGUUAAUGAUCCUUCCGCAGGUUCUGCUACCUGUGUGGCAACACAACUGAACCCGGAUACGUCGGAGUGAGGCCCCAGAGAGAGUUCUCUUUUCUGUUUAACAAGUCGCUGCCCUGGAGGUCUUCACGACGAGAGAGGGCUAUAGACUUGGAAGAGCAGCACACCCUCUGUGCUGUCUGGAGCGCCUCCUUCGGCCCUUGAAAAGCCGGGGGAAACCUUAUCGCUCGUCUGGCCGUACCCAUAACCGCAUCAGGUCUCCAAGGU